UGUGCAAGUGAUGAAAAAAAAGACAGGGACAUCUGUACUCUAUUAGAGCAUGAUGAUUGUCUGUGGGAAUCUCUCUGAUGCAUU